GGUGGGUUGAAAGUGAAAGAAGGGGUCGGAGGAGGUGUAAUAUUAUUUGUGAUAUCUGAACUGGAUGGCAGAUAGCAGAACGUGUUUGCUACAGUUAGGUCUGCUUCGAGAGCUCGGGAGCUUGUGGAAAUUAUCGUGAACAAUGCAAAGCAACCUUGGAGCCGUAAAUGUGGAGGAAAAGAAAUCUAUCGCAGAGUAAUGAGUUUAGGCCCGGGGCAGAAAAUGCAGCCUGGAACAUCUUAAUCAGGAAACAGCAGCUGGGAUGGAGCAGCGUCCGUGUUUUUGACAAGUUGUGCAUCCAUCUCUUGCAGCAUUUAAAAGGUGAGCAACUUUAUCUGGCGCCGCUUUAAAGGGAG